GACGAACGCUGACGGUGUGCUUUAGACAUGCAAGUCGAACGAGAAAGCCCUUCGGGUUAGUAAAGUAGGCGAACGGGUGAGUAACACGUGGGCAAUCUGCCCCUCGCAGGGGACGAACCGGAGGAAACUCCGGCUAAUACCCGUAAGUUCAAAGGGAGGCAUCUCUCUUCGAAGAAAGGUAAGCUUCGGCCAUCCGGCGAGGGAUGAGCCCGCGGUG
rnacentral:rRNA from 1 species